AUCAGGUGCGAGCCGGCCAUGGCCCCAUGUUCUUCUCUUGACUUGUGUUGCCAUGGUGACGUACAUGUCUAAUCUCUUGUCAUUGCUCUGGUCAGACGUGUCCUACAUGGCCGAGCGAGAUCGAGGCCGGCCGCCGGUAAUGUUCUCCUCGUGUGCAAGCUCCGCAAUGCACUGAAGCAUCCAACACAUGGUGAAAUAUCUUUUUAGCGUUUAAAAAAUGUGCAUUAUCCUUUAUCAUCCAACAUAUUUUUCACCGCUCAUUUGUGACCUCCUAAUGGACAUGAAGAGUCAUAUGCUAGCUAGAACACAAUCUAUAUUUGAAAGCAAUAUUUUCUGAUGUACUAUCUAAUGAAAUUUUAUUUUUGGAGACAUUCAUUCAUAAUUUUGAUGACCUCUUUGAUUCAUCCCAUCCGCUGACGCUCCAGAUCCGGCCAUCAUUGACCCCCUCUACAUCAGUGAUUGGUCAAGGUAGGGGCGUGGCUCUAUCCAUCUUCCUGCGUGUACCGCGUCUGUGUAUCCAGGGCAAGGGUGCUUGUGAGAUCCGGUGGCGAUCAAAAGGAGGAAGAGGAGAUCCAUGGUUGGGGAUACAUCCAACGACCUAGCUAGGCAUCAUCCUCCCUAAUGUGGUACUCGAAGCCUGCAGGCACUGCCUCCUCAAUCUACGUUAGUCUGCAGCAGCAAGGUCAGCCCCCCCCCAGCAGCAAGGUGAUAGGGUAGCGUACACGAACUGAAAAUUAUAGAAGGCGAGGAGGACAAUCUGAGCGACCAACAAUAUGUGGAGUAUUGAGAUGUAGCGACGCCCUGAGGUCACCCACACAAGCGACCAAGCAAUUCCAUGCUGUCACCUUGCUACUUCAACAUCGGGGAGGUCGUGGGUGAGAGCUAUUGUCCUCCUUGGAGAACUUGCCGGUGCCCCAUGCGUACGAAGAAGAGCGAAGACACUCGCAUGGGUGCUCAAGCAAUACACCAGAUCGAGCGAGAGGAUCAUGGUGGUCGAUGAAUUCUGCACCCGGUAGUAGACUAAGAAAGGAACAUUAUUUCCGUAACACAAUGAUAUUCAGAGCAUCCCUGCACUAUGUGAGAUUUAGAAGUUGGCACUGCCGGCGGAUGCAUCCAUGUGCUAAUCUGUUGGCAUCGAGUAGACGGAGCCAAACGAGUUGGGGCCGCUAGCCGGAUGGUAGUGGACAACAACACCGGGUUUGCUAAUUACUCAACAAGUCACAGACUGAUCUCUCUUUUUUGAUUGUUUUGGAGUGGUUUAUCAGCCCGGUGCGCAAUCACAGAUUUAUCUUUUGAUUUAUGUGGGUGGACGUACAGAAACACCCUUUCUGAAGUUUUCUAGGGGUUGUAGUGAAGCACAGCUUGUUCAGUGAUGCCAACCCCUUCGAGCUCCCUCAACCCUUCGCCAACACUUCUUCAGUUUCUCACCACAAAAAGUUUUCUGACGGUAUUCACACCAUCUGAUUCCUUGAAGCAUGAAGUGUUUUUCACAUUACAAUCCAAGGCUACCUAGAACGAUUACAGGUUUUAAUCAAGAAGUCCUCAAUAGGUGGACUGGCUCAAAAUGGACAAGCAUCCUGGUAGCUUUUCGGUUGAUUGCAUUAAGCAUUUAAGUUCUUAACAAUUCAUAACGAUCAAUAUCUUUGGGAUGCCUUGUAAUA